rnacentral:rRNA from 1 species
GAUGAACGCUAGCGGCAGGCUUAACACAUGCAAGUCGAGGGGUAUAGUAGCAAUACUAGAGACCGGCGCACGGGUGCGUAACGCGUAUGCAAUCUACCUUUUACAGAGGGAUAGCCCAGAGAAAUUUGGAUUAAUACCUCAUAGUAUAGUGACAUCGCAUGAUGAUGCUAUUAAAGUUACAACGGUAAAAGAUGAGCAUGCGUCCCAUUAGCUAGUUGGUAAGGUAACGGCUUACCAAGGCAACGAUGGGUAGGGGUCCUGAGAGGGAGGAUCCCCACCACUGGUACUGAGACACGGACCAGACUCCUACGGGAGGCAGCAGUGAGGAAUAAUUGGACAAUAGGGCGGCAAGACCUGAUCCAGCCAUGCCGCGUGCAGGAUGACGGUCCUAUGGAUUGUAAACU